rnacentral:snRNA from 1 species
AUGCUCGCUUCGGCAGCACAUAUACUAAAAUUGGAAUGAUACAGAGAUUAGCAUAGCUCCUCUGCAAGGAUGACACGCAAAUUCGCGAAGUGUUCCAUAUUUUA